GUAGAUUUAGUUUAAUUAGAAUAGGAAGUUUUCUCUUUCCAGGUAAAGUAUUUUAAUCUAUA
rnacentral:tRNA from 1 species